AGCGAACGCUGGCGGCAGGCUUAACACAUGCAAGUCGAGCGGGCACUUUCGGGUGUCAGCGGCGGACGGGUGAGUAACGCGUGGGAACGUGCCCUCUGGUUCGGAAUAACUCAGGGAAACUUGAGCUAAUACCGGAUACGCCCUUUUGGGGAAAGGCUUGCUGCCGGAGGAUCGGCCCGCGUCUGAUUAGCUAGUUGGUGAGGUAACGGCUCACCAAGGCGACGAUCAGUAGCUGGUCUGAGAGGAUGAUCAGCCACACUGUGACUGAGACACGGCCCAGACUCCUACGGGAGGCAGCAGUGGGGAAUAUUGGACAAUGGGCGCAAGCCUGAGCCAGCCAGGCCGCGUGAGUGAUGAAGGCCUUAGGGUUGUAAAGCUCUUUUAUCCGGGACGAUAAUGACGGUACCGGAGGAAUAAGCCCCGGCUAACUUCGUG
rnacentral:rRNA from 1 species